GCCGCUGUAGCUCAGUUGGUUAGAGCGCUUGAUUGUGGAUCAAGAGGUCGCAUGUUCGAUUCAUGCCAGCGGUACCA
rnacentral:tRNA from 1 species